GCCCUGAGGGAUAGUUCAGUCAAUAGAACAUGGGACUCUUAAUCUCAGGGCCAUGGGUUCGAGUCUCACGUUGGGCG